ACCAUGAGGGUCAGUAAUCCCAUCCUAUCCCCCCAAUUGGAGAUAACUUGAUCAUUAACAGGUUUCUUUAUUUUCUAUCUUAAUUUUUUAUGGUUGUUCGCAUAGGGAGUCUUGGACAUCACCACCACAGAGGUCGCAGACUACUUAAUUGGAGGUGUCAUGACUUGAAGUGGAUAUUUUUAUGGUUCUCUUCCCUUGAACAAUAUUUUAAAUCUCUAUGUUUCUCUCAUCUCACAGGGUUCUCCUUUUUGCAAACUUGUUCGUGAAGUGCUUGUAGAGUUGGAGUUACCACAUUUAGGAGUUAUCACUAAACAAAUGACUGCAAUAGAAGAAAUGGUUGCAAGUGAGUACAAUUAGCCAGACCCUCAUCUUUGUGACAAGAUCUUGAAGUUGGUCAUUUGUGAAGCGUUCUACUUUGCUAUUAGUUGCAGUUUUAGUUAUUGCUCUCUCAAUAUAUUCUUUUUCUUUCUUUCUUUCUUAUUUUCCAAAGGAUGAUCAGUGUAAUAAUUAAGCUUCAUAAUUUCUGUGUUUGGAUCCAAGUUGUAUAUAAAUGUCACAUUAUUAAGAUUUCAUUUUGUAUAUGUACAAGUAAAAGAUUUCAUUUUUAA